CUCCUCCUGGUAGUACUCAAGGGUGUCCUUGAGGAUGUGCUAUAUCCAAUUGUGGUGCUUGUUAUUAUUCAUAUAAUGAUCUACCAUUCCCUCCAUUACCUGGUUCUUGUCCUAGUGUGUGUCCAUUGGUUAAUGGUGAAGUGGAUGAGUCCUGCAUGGCAAGAUGGGGACAGUGUGUCCAGAGAUCAUAUUAUACCAUUUAUAAAACUGUUUCUGAGCGUGAGAGGUUUAAAGAUAAUUUCCGCUGCUGGUCUCUUCAAUGCAUUAACUAGACAUUAAAUAGUAAAAGACUGUAGAUCUAGAUCCAUAGUUAUGAUUUCCUUUUGUUCGUAGUUUUUGUUAGUAAUAAUAGAUUCUUAUUGAUGUAUAAAAUUAAA